rfam:Hordeum vulgare subsp. vulgare, WGS project CAJW01000000 data, contig: morex_contig_38279
AACAUAUUUCUUCCGUUUCAAAAUUCUUGUCAUAAAUUUGUCUAGAAAUAGAUGUAUCUAAAUACUAUGACAUGACUAGAUACAUUCAUACUUAGACAAAUCUAAGAUAAAAUUUUGAGACGGAGGGAGUACUAG